AGAGUUUGAUCCUGGCUCAGGAUAAACGCUAGCGGCAGGCCUAACACAUGCAAGUCGAGGGGCAUCGGAUAGAGUACUUCGGUACUCUUGCCGGCGACCGGCGGACGGGUGCGUAACGCGUAUGCAACCUACCUUCAACAGGGGGAUAAUCCGAAGAAAUUUGGUCUAAUACCCCAUAAUAUUCCGACAGGCAUCUGUUGGAGUUGAAAGCUUCGGUGGUUGGAGAUGGGCAUGCGUUGUAUUAGCUAGAUGGUGAGGUAACGGCUCACCAUGGCGAUGAUACAUAGGGGGACUGAGAGGUUUUCCCCCCACACUGGUACUGAGACACGGACCAGACUCCUACGGGAGGCAGCAGUGAGGAAUAUUGGUCAAUGGACGGAAGUCUGAACCAGCCAUGCCGCGUGCAGGAUGAAUGUGCUAUGCAUUGUAAACUGCUUUUGUACGAGGGUAAACACAGAUACGCGUAUCUGCUUGAAAGUAUCGUACGAAUAAGGAUCGGCUAACUCCGUGCCAGCAGCCGCGGUAAUACGGAGGAUCCGAGCGUUAUCCGGAUUUAUUGGGUUUAAAGGGUGCGUAGGCUGUUUUUUAAGUUAGAGGUGAAAGCUCGACGCUCAACGUCGAAAUUGCCUCUGAUACUGAGAGACUAGAGUGUAGUUGCGGAAGGCGGAAUGUGUGGUGUAGCGGUGAAAUGCUUAGAUAUCACACAGAACACCGAUUGCGAAGGCAGCUUUCCAAGCUAUUACUGACGCUGAGGCACGAAAGCGUGGGGAGCGAACAGGAUUAGAUACCCUGGUAGUCCACGCCGUAAACGAUGAUAACUCGUUGCCGGCGAUAUACUGUCGGUGACUAAGCGAAAGCGAUAAGUUAUCCACCUGGGGAGUACGUUCGCAAGAAUGAAACUCAAAGGAAUUGACGGGGGCCCGCACAAGCGGAGGAACAUGUG
rnacentral:rRNA from 1 species